CACGGGGGGAGCAAGCGUUGUUCGGAAUCACUGGGCGUAAAGGGCGUGCAGGCGGUCAGGUAAGUGGGAUGUGAAAUGCCCCGGCUCACCCGGGGACCGGCAUCUCAUACUGCUUGGCUUGAGUACGGGAGAGGAUGUGGGAAUUCCUGGUGUAGCGGUGAAAUGCGUAGAGAUCAAGAGGAACACUCGUGGCGAAAGCGAGCUACUGGACAAUUCCUGACGCUGAGGCUCGAAGGCUAGGGUAGCGAAAGGG
rnacentral:rRNA from 1 species